rnacentral:rRNA from 1 species
CCUACGGGAGGCAGCAGUGGGGAAUAUUGCACAAUGGGGGAAACCCUGAUGCAGCGACGCCGCGUGAGUGAAGAAGUACUUCGUUAUGUAAAGCUCUAUCAGCAGGGAAGAAAAUGACGGUACCUGAGUAAGAAGCCCCGGCUAACUACGUGCCAGCAGCCGCGGUAAUACGUAGGGGGCAAGCGUUAUCCGGAUUUCCUGGGUGGAAAGGGAGCGUAGACGGCAGUGCAAGUCUGGAGUUAAAGGCGGGGGCUCAACCCCCGGACUGCUCUGGAAACUGUACGGCUGGAGUGCAGGAGAGGUAAGUGGAAUUCCUAGUGUAGCGGUGAAAUGCGUAGAUAUUAGGAGGAACACCAGUGGCGAAGGCGGCUUACUGGACUGUAACUGACGUUGAGGCUCGAAAGCGUGGGGAGCAAACAGGAUUAGAUACCCGUGUAGUC